rnacentral:rRNA from 1 species
UACGUAGGGUGCAAGCGUUGUCCGGAAUUAUUGGGCGUAAAGAGCUCGUAGGCGGUUUGUCGCGUCUGCCGUGAAAGUCCGGGGCUCAACUCCGGAUCUGCGGUGGGUACGGGCAGACUAGAGUGAUGUAGGGGGAGACUGGAAUUCCUGGUGUAGCGGUGAAAUGCGCAGAUAUCAGGAGGAACACCCGGUGGCGAAGGCGGGUCUCUGGGCCGUAACUGACGCUGAGGAGCGAAAGCGUGGGGAGCGAACAGG